rnacentral:rRNA from 2 species
UCUGGUGGCGAUAGCGAAGAGGUCACACCCGUUCCCAUGCCGAACACGGAAGUUAAGCUCUUCAGCGCCGAUGGUAGUUGGGGGCUUCCCCCUGUGAGAGUAGGACGCCGCCAGGC